rnacentral:tRNA from 1 species
GCCCCGAUAGCUCAGUGGUAGAGCAUUCCACUCGUAAUGGAAAGGCCGUCAGUUCAAUCCUGACUCGGGGCUCCA